rnacentral:rRNA from 1 species
AUGUUUGGUGUGCCAUCUCUAUGGAUGCAACAAUCGGAAUGGAUCAGACCAAGACCAGGUUUUGGGAAAGUACUACCGACCAGUACAACAACUCCGUGGACGUGCGAUCAAGCCGUACUCAAGGUUCUCUUGGGCAUUGCUGGAGCACCAUUCAUGACCAAUGCAACCGAUGGUCCGGUUGUAUCGACCAAGUGA